GUACUGGUAGAUCCAUAAAGCUCUAAGUACCUGCCAUGCCUUUCAUCUCUCUCUAGGAGAGGUGGUCCCAGGCAGUUCUUUCUCCAGAAGGGGUAGAGGAUCCAUAGCUGGAAGGAGCCCGAGUCCCUGAAUCACUGAGUGGAGGAAAACCACCAGCUAACCAGGAACAUUUUCAUCGACUAGUUUUGUGGGUGAGAAGGAACCUCAUAAUUUGGAAGUGGAUGUCUUUGUGGACUGGACUUGCAACGUUCCUGAAGUCAUCUUUGUCUGGCAUUCCUACCACAAGUUCUGGCGACUCCAUACAUCACGUUUAAAGAUAACGUUGACACUAAGCCGCUGUGCGGAUGAAAUAUGAAUCUGGCAAGAGCAACACUUCUCUCUGCGUGGGUCGCAUUCUCAGCUGAGAGAGGUGGGGUGAAGACCCAGGAUUACCGUUGCUCCUCUCCGCCCUCGCUGCCUUUUCUCGCAGGGUGCUUUCUACACUGAGAGCCAGUUCCCAGCCAGCACAGACUUGCC
ensembl:lncRNA